GGGCUGUACCCGGGCGCACCGACAGCAGCCCCGCCAGAGUUUGCCCCCGCCGGUCCCUGGGCGCUGCCCGCAAACCGGCGUUCGCUCAUCUCAUCCCGCGUGGCCACGGCCCCUGCACGGGCGCUGCGGUUGAGUGAACGCUGCAACCAGACACGAGCGAUGUCUGCUGCACAAAAGCUUCACUGCUCCCACACGGGUGCUGCUGUCACGCAAACACCACCAGACGAGCCGCACAAACAAGCUCCGUGUGUUCGCUAAUUUAAGGUGUUGCUUUGACAGUUCCAUUGCAACUUUUAUUUCAAAAGCACUGGAGGCCCGGAGGACAGAGGGAGAGCCAAGGCAAUGCUAGUGGCUGUAUAGCAGUAGCAGCCUGUGAAAUCUAUCAUGCAGCACCAGAACUGGAGCUUUGACUAAAAUUGUUUUUCGAAGUGCUCAUUUCUUUAUCUAAAACAAGUGUACCUGAGCUCAACAUUCCUGCCAAGUGAUUUCUCACACCACAUAUUUGCAUUAUGACGUUGUCAGUUAUGCUUUUUCCAACCUUUUCUGCACAAACAAAGCAGUGCCAUUGUCUCUACCGGUCCUCUGAGGACCAGUGGUUCCUAAGGAAAAUCCACAUGGAGCCUGACCCAUCAUGGAGAACAAUGACCCUGUGAUUAAGCCUGGAGAGGCGGUCUGUGGGUACUGGCUGACUGAGGCUUGAAGUUAUGAGGGAGGAAAUGGUUUGGGAUUGCUUCCUUCCUUUUGCACUCUGGGAAGCUUUUGUAACUGGACUUGUACCCGUGUCAUUAACUCACUCCGUUUUUUCUCCACCUAAGUGGAAAAAUCUACAGAACCUUGAAUUGUUGACUAAUUAUUCAGGUCUGAAGGAUUAGGAGAAGAGAAGAUGCACUAAAUAUAAACAGACUGUGUCAGCAAACUUGGAAGAGUUACUUUAACAGCCUUGUGUCACGCAGCAGAGUAAAAUACUGUGCCUUGCUGCAUAAAUGGUUGCACUGCAAUUAUUUGCACCAGUAAAGGAGUAUGGGGGCUCUUCUGAGAAGUGGAGGCUUUAAAAUCUGACCUUUAAGGAAAAUCACUCACUGUUGGAGUAAGAACUGUUUAAGGCGCACUGAGAAAUGGAAAUCAGUCACAUUACAAGG